GAAGGUCAAUUAAAAAUGGUGGUUCAUCUUCCCUUGAAGUGAAGUCGUAGAUGUGGAGACACUGUGGCAAGUUAAAGCAAAUCCCACAGGUGAAUAAACGUUUUAAGGGUUUAAAUAAAACGUUAUUAAAGUAAUCUGCACACAGCAAAGGCAGCUUUAGCUGAGUUAGCCAAACGGAGCUGUAGCUUUACUGUUGUUACGAGUCAGAUUUAAUUUGAACUCGGAGCCUUCACCGGAUUUAAAGGUGGAUUUACACUUUACAGCGAGAACCAGCCGACAUGCCACCUCUGCGUGCUGGGCUGCUGUGCACAGGAGCACCGUAGUUUGAUGGGCCGUCCCAGACGCCAGUUGACAUUUUGUCCCCAGUCCGACCGGAUGCCACAUAAAAAAUUCACUCAGGCGAGAAGCCAGGAGGAAUACCCAGCUCCCCCCUUCCCCCAGCGUGUGCAUCUCAGUGGGGAGUGCAAGUUGUCACCAUCACCAUCUUGGUCCUUUGAAAUCAGAUUUGACUAAUGAGAGGUGGGAUCAGACUGAGGGACACCACUGAUUUGCCAAUCACUAGGUGGCAGCAGAUAACCACGUCAGACUCUUCUUCCCCAGGCAUCAGUUUCCUGUCUCAGUCUGCAUCACAGGAGACGUUCCAGACAGUUAAGGAUUGCAAUUCUGUUUUUUCUUUUUCUUUUCAGUGAGAAAAUACCAGCUUUAGUUUGACUGCAAUCUUUAUUAUGAUCAUAACUGCGUUAUUUGACACAUUUUAUGCUCCAGUUCGGAGUUAUUAGUGACCAAAGAUUCAUGGCCAACUGUAACUAUAAGGGCAAAUGUCAGAACUAUGCAUCUGUUACGGGUUAGCCACAGUGUCUAUAUUCACAUCUCAUUGUCACGAGUAGUUUUUUUUUGGCACAAUACACAGAAAAUUGUGGAUUUUGGACACAGAGGAUCAUUUAUCUUAUGUUAGAACAGUUUUAUAGUUGUUUUUAUUAAAUAUUUUCAGUGGUUUGGUUCUUUGGCUCUUUACUGUAGUCAUGUUAUGUCCUAACUGACACCAUUGAUUUUGUUAGAAAAAGAUAUGAGCAGAUUAAAUCACUUAGAACGUUUUAUGUCAUAUUUAUUUGUCCAA